CAUUGAGACUGAAGUACCAGUAAGCAGAGGUACCAAGUACCCACAAUUCAUAUUUUCCUCCUAAAGCUUAGAACAAAAUGUAUCAGAAACAUACUUGACUGACAGGCGAAGAGAAAAUUUCAUUUGAUGUUGCCUGGCCCUCCUCUGUCCUCUAGUGGUCAUGUGAAGAAUUACUUCAUUGUUUGUUCAAGAUCUACCCAUGGUGGGUCAGCUGAGAACAAUCACCUUCAAUCCUGCAUGCCAGGACUGGGAAUGUGGAAACAUUCUGUGAGCAAAUAAGGCCCAGGGGUAGCAAUUUCAUGUUUUCUAAAAAUUAAAUAAAAACAGCUUUCAUCACAA